UACGGGGGGGCAAGCGUUGUUCGGAAUUACUGGGCGUAAAGGGCUCGUAGGCGGCCAACUAAGUCAGACGUGAAAUCCCUCGGCUUAACCGGGGAACUGCGUCUGAUACUGGAUGGCUUGAAUCCGGGAGAGGGAUGUGGAAUUCCAGGUGUAGCGGUGAAAUGCGUAGAUAUCUGGAGGAACACCGGUGGCGAAGGCGACAUCCUGGACCGGUAUUGACGCUGAGGCGCGAAAGCCAGGGGAGCAAAUGGG
rnacentral:rRNA from 1 species